rnacentral:rRNA from 1 species
GUUAAGAAUCUUGCGCAAUGGGGGGAACCCUGACGCAGCGACGCCGCGUGGAUGAUGAAGGCCUUCGGGUUCUAAAGUCCGGUAAGCAGGGAAGAAUAAGUGUGGGGUAAUAUUCCACAUGAUGACGGUACCUGCCUAAAGCCCCGGCUAACUACGUGCCAGCAGCCGCGGUAAUACGUAUGGGGCAAGCGUUGUUCGGAAUUAUUGGGCGUAAAGGGCGUCUAGGCGGGGGAUUAAGUUAGAUGUGAAAGCUAUGGGCUCAACCCAUAAAUUGCAUCUAAGACUGGUUCUCUUGAGGCCGGGAGAGGAGAGCGGAAUUCCAGGUGUAGCGGUGAAAUGCGUAGAUAUCUGGAAGAACACCAGUGGCGAAGGCGGCUCUCUGGCCUAGGACUGACGCUGAAGCGCGAAAGCGUGGGGAGCGAACAGGAUUAGAUACCGGGGUAGUCC